UGGAUGCAGGGUUCAAAAGAGUGGAAGUCAUGCUUGAAAAUGAGAGAGCAAUACAAACAAACAGCACUCUUCGCUGAAUGCAUCAGCCCAUCAAUCUUGUUAAAGUUCUCAAGCCCACCAGCCCUGAUACUGUUCACUGGCAAUCCCAUCCCAAAUUUCCCAAACACAUGAAAGGCCUAUACUGCCUUGGUCAGUGGGCGAAGGAUGAGGCCAACAAUCCCACACCAUACAGCCAGCAGAAGCAGGAAGCUCUCAGAACUGUCUGCAAACUAGCUGUAUUUUAUGAGGUGGUGGUUUACUCA
rnacentral:sRNA from 1 species